AAUUCGUGCAUGGGACAUCUUCGUAAAAGCUCCUUGUAUCGCUUCUAAGCUUCAUACAUGCAUUCGUCAUCUGCUUGUCAAAAAGAAGAAAUAUCCUUACGAAAUU